UAAUUUAUCGAUUUUAGUGAGAAAUCACAUGUCGAAAUACGAGAUUUAUUUAAAUAAACAGUAUCAAGCAUAUACGAGCACACGAUCCAUCUUACAGUUACAGAAUCACCGAGACAGAGAAAAUACAUCAAUAAUUCUCCUCUACAUUUUUUUUUCCUUUCUUUUUCUUCUCUUUUUCUUUCCAUUAAUUUUGUUCCCCACUCCAUCAACUCCACUACCCUAUGCUCCCCACCAUCUCCACUACCUUUGCUCCCCAUCAACUCCAACACUUCACCCAUUCCUUCCAUUUCGCACCAGCAAUCACAAAGAGAAGGAAGACUUGGCUUAACUACUUUGCCAAGAUUUCAAGCUGCUCCAGUCCAGUAGUACCCCAACACUCGAAGCUAGAGUUUAUUGGGUGAAAAACCGUGCAUGAGGUCGAGCGCAAGAAUAAGAGCUCGUCAAGGAGUCACUAAUCUGUAGCAAAGCUUUGCUAUCAGGUGGGUUACUUUCAUAUAUAUCAAAUGAGUUUAAUGUUAUGUUUGAACAGUUAUUUCAUUGCAAAAUCUUUGAACUGAAAAUUAUUUCAAAUGUUGUCUUGCCAUAAAUGUUUCAAUGUUUGGUAUGAUAUCUAUCUGAUGUGGCUUUGCCAGUUAUUAUGCAAUCGAAUUCGGGUCCUGAGCAGUUGAUAGCUAUCCUGCCAGGGCUAGUGUACACCAGUGACCGUGAGUCAUCUAGCGGGUUGGCCGGUCAAGUGACCGUGAGAGGUGGCCACCUCUCCGGCACACAGUUCCAGAUAUGAUAGAUUACAAGAGAACUUAGUCUGCAGACGAACUUUAAGAAUCACAAAUGAAUUUAGUAAGCUUGGGCCUUUUUAGCGAAAAACUCCCUUGCUGUACUGUUUAUGAUGGCAUGACAAUUUACAACUUUACGAAGCAUGUUAUAUUUCAUAGUAGGCAUAUGUGCCCACUGAGUACUUUUGUACUCAGCCCUGCAUAUAUUUCUAAAUGUGCAGGUUAAGCAGCUGCCGAUGGUGAUGAAGUGACGAGCGGGACUCUUUUGUCUUAUUAUGUAUUAAUGAACUCUAGGGUUACAUGUCUUCAUACAUGUAAUCAGAACCUUAUUCCGCUGUGUACUCAGAAGUUUUAUGUUAUUUUGGAUAAGUCGGAGUUAUCCGAACUUGUUAGUUAUUUGAGUCUAUACGACAAAAACUCUGUUAUAUUAUAGAUAUCCAUGUUGUUAACAAUGAUGAAA